CGGAGAAGCCCACGUGUAGGGUUCCACUCCACAUGGCUGUGCUCCUGAAGACGUUGGUGCAUCCCCGGAGGCCCCCGGCGGCCUUGGGUCGUCCCCUGGGACGGCGCGAGGCCAGCCUGGGCACUCAUGCCGGGGCUGCGGUGCGAGUGCGGUUCGCCCCCAGCCCCACAGGCUUCUUGCACCUGGGCGGCCUCCGCACUGCCUUGUACAACUACAUCUUUGCCAAGAAGCACGGAGGGAGCUUCAUCCUGAGGCUGGAGGACACGGAUCAGACCCGCCUUGUGCCUGGGGCGGUGGAGAAUAUAGAGGACAUGCUGGAGUGGGCAGGCAUCCCCCCUGACGAGAGCCCCCGCCGGGGAGGUCCUGCAGGGCCCUACCUCCAGUCUCAGCGACUUGCGCUCUACGCCCAGGCCACCGAAGCUCUGCUGAAGAGCGGCGCUGCGUACCCGUGUUUCUGCUCACCCCAGCGGCUGGAACUCCUGAAGAGGGAGGCCCUAAGGAACCGCCAGACACCCCGGUAUGACAAUCGGUGCCGGAGCCUGAGCGAGGCGCAGGUGGCCCAGAAGCUGGCCAAAGACCCCAAGCCUGCCAUCCGCUUCCACCUGGAGGGGGAGGCGCCAGCCUUCCAGGACUUGGUGUAUGGCUGGAAUCGGCAUGAGGUGGCCAGUGUGGAGGGGGACCCAGUCAUCCUGAAGAGCGACGGCUUCCCCACCUACCACCUGGCCUGCGUGGUGGACGACCACCACAUGGGCAUCAGCCACGUGCUGCGGGGCUCCGAGUGGCUGGUCUCCACCUCCAAGCAUCUGCUCCUCUACCAGGCCCUGGGCUGGCAGCCCCCGCACUUUGCCCACCUGCCCCUGCUCCUCAACAGGGAUGGCAGCAAGCUGUCCAAGAGGCAAGGGGACAUCUUCCUGGAGCAUUUUGCUGCCGCCGGCUUCCUGCCGGAUGCCUUGCUCGAUAUCAUCACCAACUGCGGCUCAGGGUUUGCAGAGAACCGGAUGGGCAGGACCUUGCCAGAGCUGAUCACACAGUUUGACCUGACCCGGGUCACCUGCCACUCGGCCCUGCUGGACCUGGAGAAGCUCCCAGAAUUCAACAGGCUGCACCUCUGCCGGCUGGUGAGCGAUGAGACCCAGAGACGCCAGCUGGUGGGGAAGCUGCAGGCUCUCGUGGAGGAGGCAUUCGGGAGCCAGCUGCAAGACAGGCAUGUGCUGGACGCAGCCUAUGUGGAGAGGAUCAUCCUGCUGAGACAGGGCCACAUUUGCCGCCUGCAGGAUUUGAUCUCCCCAGCGUACUCCUACCUGUGGACUCGCCCUGCUGUGGGUCGAGCGCAGCUGGGCGCCGUCUCGGAGAAGGUGGACAUCAUUGCCAAGCGUGUGCUGGGGCUUUUAGAAGGACCCGGUAUGAGUUUAACUCAGGACAUGCUGAACAGAGAACUGAAGAAGCUGUCAGAAGGUCUGGAAGGCACCAAACACAGUAACGUGAUGAAGCUCCUCCGAGUGGCCCUCAGUGGACAGCUGCAAGGACCUCCUGUAGCUGAGAUGAUGUUGUCCUUGGGACCAAAGGAAGUGCGGGAACGAAUACAGAAGGUGCUUUCCAGCUAGAGAGAAGGUGUGCAGGACAGCAGAGGUGGCCACAGGAACUGUACUCGUGGGACCUGCCCUCAGAGGGGAGGAGCAGGAGGCUUGGGGCCCAUCGGAAGCUUGUGGAAGGAACCAAGAAUGGACACAGAGCCUCUGGGUGCACAGUUCUCCAGACCUGGUCCUUGGACUGGAGACCUCUACGCUGCCUGUUUUGCAUCUUUUUCUUCAUAUUCGCCUCCUUCUUCCACCCAUCAUUUGUAAAUCACCGUCUGUGGGUUUCUGAAAUGAGAUGUUCUUCUUGGGGUGAAUAGGAAUAGCUGAAGUGAAAGGAGGAUGGUGGCUGGCUACAAAGACGCCUACACGGCUUCUGGGCUUCCCCUUUGUAGCCCCCAGUCGUCGCUGCCUCCUGGCGCUCACACUGAAGAGGGCUGACUUCUGUGUGGUGUGUCAUGGCUUCCAUGUUGUUCUCUUGGAUCCCUUACUCUGGGGGAAGCCAGCUUCCACACCGUGAAGACAGACAGACAAGGAUGGGAGGCCUUUUGACAACAUCAGUAUGAAUGGGCCAUCUUGGAAGUCAGUCUUCCAGCCCCAGUCAAGCCUUCAGAUGACUGCAAUGCUGGCUGAUGUUUGACUGCAGCGUUCUUUUUUUUUUUUUUUUUUUAAUUGGAGUAUAGUUGCUUUACAAUGUUGUGUUUGUUUCUGCUGUACAGCAAAGUGAAUCAGCCACACGUAUACAUAUAUUCCCCUCUUCCUUGGAUUUCCUUCCCAUUUAGGUCACCACAGAGCAUUGAGUAGAGUUCCCUGUACUAUACAGUAGGUUCUCGUUAGUUAUCUGUUUUAUACAUACGUAGCAUAUAUGUGUCAAUCCCAAUCUCCCAAUCCAUCUCACCCCCUCUUCCCCCUUAGUAUCUAUACGUUUGUUCUCUAUAUCUCUGUCUCUGCUUUGCAAAUAAGUUCAUCUUAUAGCAUUUUUCUAGAUUCCACAUAUGUGUUAAUAUACAAUAUUUGUUUUUCUCUUAAUGACUUCACUCUGUAUGAAAGUCUCUAGGAACAUCCACGUCUCUGCAAAUGGCACAAUUUCGUUCCGUUCUAUGGCUGAGUAAUAUUCCAUUGUAUAUAUGUACCACAUCUUCUUUAGCCAUUCCUCUGUUGAUGGACAUUUAGGUUGCUUCCAUGUCCUGGCUACUGUAAAUAGUGCUGACUGCAGCCUUCUUGAAAGAUCCUGAGCCAGAACCACUAAGCAAAGUUGCUCCUGAAUUUCAGACACACAGUUAUGAGAUAAUAAAUAUUUAUUGUUUAAAGCCACUUAGCUCUGGGAUAAUUUGUUACCCAGCAAGAGAUUGCUAAUACACUGUCCUUGUCCAGGGGAAUAGGGAAAGGGGAUUAAAGAACUUGCUGAGUUUCACAGAGACCUAAUCCUUGCUUGAAAAGUACGUCAGAUAAAGUUCUUGGAUGGCAAGCAGUGGAAACCAGUUCUGCCUAACUUAGGUUUAUUGGAGACUUUAAGUUUAUGGGAAUUUAAAUUUGUGAGAAAGUCAUAGAAUCUAUGGGAAAGCCAAAGAACCAGGUCUUGGAAAAGACAGGAGCCGGGGAAGCUCUGAGCAUGCAGGCAGCAGGAGCUCAUGGCCAGUCUUGUCUGGGUUCUUCAGUGGGAACACAUGAACUCUUAACUAUUUUUUGUUGUGGUUUCUCUGUAUUAUUUCCCCUUCAGUUUUGGAUGAUUCAGCUAAAGAUUCAGAUUCUAAGAAGAGAGUGUCUGGUUGGGCUAACUGAGGUCAUGUUACCAUUCCUCAGCCAGGAAUAUAUCCAAUGGAGGAAAAGUUCCCAAGGAGAAGUAGGGUGCUUUUUCCAGAAGAAGGGGCAAUGGCAGGAACAACAGGUGUUGUGCCAAAAGGGACACAGAAUAAUAAUGCUUGCAAUUUAUUGUGCGUUCACAUGAGCCUCAACCACUUCUGGGUUUCAAAUUAUGCUUGUAGGGGACUUCCCUGGUGGUGCAGUGGCUAAGACUCCACACUCCCAAUGCAGGGGCCCUGGGUUUGACCCCUGGCCGGGGAACUAGAUCCUGCGUUCAUGCCGCAACUGAGAGUCUGUAUGCUGCAACUAAGACCCGGCGCAACCAAAAUAAAUAAAUAUAUUUUUUAAAAUUAUGCUGGUAAACACUUUAGUUCAUCAUCUCUUUAAACCUUCAUAACCCCAUGAGACAGGCAUUAUUAUUAUGGUUGUUGUUUCUGUGUUUUAGAUAGGGAGACUGAGGCUCAGAAAAGUUGAUCAGCUCUUCUGAGGUUUUAGUAUGAGGCUUACGACAACCCAGAGUCCAACCUCAACUCUUGUCACUCUGAGUGACAUCAGAGCCUCCGAUUCUAAGACAUUAAGUAUGCUUACAAGAAACUCUAGCUCUUGGUUAGGGAAUCUGACUGUUUUAACAAAAUGAGUGAUCAAAUUGCUGAGUCAAUAAAGCUGUGGCCACUUCCUCGGUUGGAGUGAGUUGUCUGAGAAGCAGCAUGUAUCCUCUGCUCUGGGGUUUUGCUCAGGAUCAGAAGGAAUGCACAGUUUAAAUAACCUCAAGUCCGUCCCCCAGUGUUUUUUCAGAGUAUAGUGAAGUGAAGGCCAUAGAGGCCAACUGUCUAGACUCAAAAACUGGUUCUGCCACUUAUUGUGUGACUUCUGUAGCUCAGUUUCCUCAUCUGUUAAAAUGGGGAUAACAGUUGUAUCUGUCUCAACAAAUUGUAAGAAUCAAAUUAGAUGACAUAUGUAAAGUUCUUAGAACAGUGCCUGCCACUCAACAAAUGUUAUCAGUUACCAUCAUCCUCAUCACCAGUAUUUUCAUCCUUAGAGAUGCGGAUCUUGGUUGCAACACAUAGAAACACGCUCAGGCUAACUUAAACCAUGAAAGUAAUUUACUGAAGAUUUAGGACCCACAGAUCCCAAGGGCAGGACUCCCAGCUGGGCCUUACAAGAGACUGGAAUCUGUACCCAAAAACCUAUUAGGACCCAACACACUCACCUUUAUCCCUCUGAAACUGCAGUUUCUAACCUUCGUCUCUGUCUGGGUGUCUGCUCCUCUCAUCUUUCUUCUGCAGGCUGGCUUUCUCUUAUCUCUGCAGCUGUUGAACAACUGCCCCAGCCCUAAAGCUGAAUCAUCUCCCCUCUACUACACUGCCAAUUCAAUAACUAGUAUUCCAUGUCCAAAAUCCCAGGAAAGAAUCUGAUUGGCCUAGCUUGGGUCAGCUGUCUACCCCUGGUGCAAUCAACUGUGGCCAGU